CUACGGGAGGCAGCAGUGGGGAAUUUUGGACAAUGGGCGAAAGCCUGAUCCAGCAAUGCCGCGUGUGUGAUGAAGGCCUUCGGGUUGUAAAGCACUUUUGGCGGGAACGAAAAGGACCGUGCCAAUACCAUGGUCUGAUGACGGUACCCGCAGAAUAAGCACCGGCUAACUACGUGCCAACAGCCGCGGUAAUACGUAGGGUGCGAGCGUUAAUCGGAAUUACUGGGCGUAAAGAGUGCGCAGGCGGUUUUGCAAGACCGAUGUGAAAUCCCCGGGCUUAACCUGGGAACUGCAUUGGUGACUGCAAGGCUAGAGUGUGUCAGAGGGAGGUGGAAUUCCGCAUGUAGCAGUGAAAUGCGUAGAUAUGCGGAGGAACACCGAUGGCGAAGGCAGCCUCCUGGGAUAACACUGACGCUCAUGCACGAAAGCGUGGGGAGCAAACAGGAUUAGAUACCCUGGUAGUCCACGCCCUAAACGAUGUCUACUAGUUGUCGGGGAUUAAUUUCCUUGGUAACGCAGCUAACGCGUGAAGUAGACCGCCUGGGGAGUACGGUCGCAAGAUUAAAACUCAAAGGAAUUGACGG
rnacentral:rRNA from 1 species